rnacentral:rRNA from 1 species
UCAAGUGAAGAAGGGCGCACGGUGAAUGCCUUGGCACUGGAAGCCGAUGAAGGACGCGACUAACCGCGAAAGUCUUCGGGGAGCCGUAAGUAGGCUUUGAUCCGGAGGUCUCCGAAUGGGGGAACCCAGCAUGUGCAGACAUGCUAUCCUUAAGUGAAUACAUAGCUUAAGGAAGGAACACGCAGUGAACUGAAACAUCUAAGUAGCUGCAGGAAGAGAAAGAAAUAUCGAUUUCCCAAGUAGCGGCGAGCGAACAGGAAAGAGCCCAAACCGGCAGAUUUAUCUGCCGGGGUUGUAGGACUGAGACAUGGCACUUCAGAGGAUAGCAGAAGCGUUUGGGAAAGCGCGCCAGAGAGGGUGAGAGCCCCGUAAGCGAAAUCCAAAGAAGGCCUAUCAGUAUCCUGAGUAGGGCGGGACACGUGAAAUCCCGUUUGAAUCCGCGAGGACCAUCUCGCAAGGCUAAAUACUAACCAGUGACCGAUAGUGAACCAGUACCGUGAGGGAAAGGUGAAAAGAACCCCGGGAGGGGAGUGAAAGAGAACCUGAAACCGUGUGCCUACAAGUAGUCAGAGCCCGUUAACGGGUAAUGGCGUGCCUUUUGUAGAAUGAACCGGCGAGUUGCGUUAGUCAGCAAGGUUAAGUCAGAAAAGACGGAGCCGUAGCGAAAGCGAGUCUGAAGAGGGCGAGCAGUUGGCUGACGCAGACCCGAAACCAAGUGACCUACCCAUGACCAGGUUGAAGGCGCGGUAAAACGCGCUGGAGGACCGAACCCACGUAAGUUGAAAAUUGCGGGGAUGAGUUGUGGGUAGCGGUGAAAUUCCAAACGAACUUGGAGAUAGCUGGUUCUCUCCGAAAUAGCUUUAGGGCUAGCCUCGCAAAGAGGAUGCUGGAGGUAGAGCUCUGUUUGGACUAGGGGCCCGUCAAGGGUUACUGAAUUCAGAUAAACUGCGAAUUCCAGACAUUUAUGUGCGGGAGUCAGACUGCGAGUGAUAAGAUCCGUAGUCGAAAGGGAAACAGCCCAGAUCACCAGUUAAGGUCCCAAAAUUCAUGCUAAGUGGAAAAGGAUGUGGAGUUGCGCAGACAACUAGGACGUUGGCUCAGAAGCAGCCAUCAUUCAAAGAGUGCGUAAUAGCUCACUAGUCGAGUGACGCCGCGCCGAAAAUUUACCGGGGCUAAGCAUGAUACCGAAACUGUGGAUGUGCAUUUAUGCACGUGGUAGGAGAGCGUUCUAGCGGCGGUGAAGCAUGACUGAGAAGACAUGUGGAGCUUCUAGAAGUGAGAAUGCCGGUAUGAGUAACGAAAGACAGGUGAGAAUCCUGUCCGCCGCAAGACUAAGGUUUCCUGGGGCAGGCUCGUCCGCCCAGGGUAAGUCGGGACCUAAGGCGAGGCCGAGAGGCGUAGUCGAUGGACAACAGGUUGAAAUUCCUGUACUGCACCGAAUCGUUAUGAGCGAUGGAGGGACGCAGGAGGCUAGCAGCGCGUGGUGCUGGAUACCACGUUCAAGCGUCAAGUCUGAGAGCGAGUCAAAUGCUUGCUCUCAUAAGGACAAGGCGUGAUGAGGAGCGAAAUUAAAGUAGCGAAGGCUGCGACGUCACACUGCCGAGAAAAGCUUCUAGCCAGAGACGGUGCACCCGUACCGCAAACCGACACAGGUAGUCGAGGAGAGUAUCCUCAGGUGAGCGAGAGAACUCUCGUUAAGGAACUCGGCAAAAUGGCCCCGUAACUUCGGGAGAAGGGGCGCUGGUCGCAAGAUCAGCCGCAGUGAAAAGGCCCAAGCAACUGUUUAUCAAAAACACAGGCAUCUGCAAAAUCGUAAGAUGAAGUAUAGGUGCUGACACCUGCCCGGUGCUGGAAGGUUAAGAGGAGAGCUUAGCGCAAGCGAAGGUUUGAAUUGAAGCCCCAGUAAACGGCGGCCGUAACUAUAACGGUCCUAAGGUAGCGAAAUUCCUUGUCGGGUAAGUUCCGACCUGCACGAAAGGUGUAAUGAUUUGGGCACUGUCUCAACGAGAGACUCGGUGAAAUUAUAAUACCCGUGAAGAUGCGGGUUACCCGCGACAGGACGGAAAGACCCCAUGGAGCUUUACUGCAGUUUAAUAUUGGGUAUCUGUCAAGCAUGUACAGGAUAGGUAGGAGCCGGAGAAGAUAGGACGCCAGUCUUAUCUGAGGCGCUGUUGGG